CCUGCGUAGAAAGGGAAGAGCUGUGCGGCCUUCGCGCUAGUUUGUUUGUGUUAAGGCUGACGCUUCCUAUUUCUCCUCAGUG
ensembl:miRNA